AACGAACGCUGGCGGCGUGCUUAACACAUGCAAGUCGAGCGCGAAAGGUUUUCCUUCGGGGAAGCGAGUAGAGCGGCAGACGGGUGAGUAACACGUGGGUAACCUGCCCCAAGGUGGAGGAUAACUACUCGAAAGGGUAGCUAAUACUGCAUAAGACCACGGCUUUUAGGAGCUGGGGUUAAAGAUUUCGAUCGCCAUGGGAGGGGCCCGCGGCCGAUUAGCUAGUUGGUGGGGUAAAAGCUUACCAAGGCGACGAUCAGUAGCCGAUCUGAGAGGAUGACCGGCCACACUGGAACUGAGACACGGUCCAGACUCCUACGGGAGGCAGCAGUGGGGAAUAUUGCACAAUGGGGGAAACCCUGAUGCAGCAACGCCGCGUGAAGGAUGAAGGUCUUCGGAUUGUAAACUUCUUUGAUGAGGGACGAAUAAAUGACGGUACCUCAAAAACAAGCCACGGCUAACUACGUG
rnacentral:rRNA from 1 species